GCUGCCAGCUUCGUCACACCUGAUCAUCAUCAUCACUGCCAGACCUCUGUGUCACACUGGCGCCGCGAGUUGCUAUCAAGCCACCACAAGCAGGACCCGAUGCAAAGAGAGAGACAGAACGACGCAAGGAGAGAGAGAAGGCAUUGCAGGGUGGUUUCUGCCGCCGCUGCUUUCUCCGCCAUCGCCGUCUGAGGAGCUCGCCACUGCCGGAGUCACGAGCUGAAGUGGGGGAGAAGGCCAUCUUCCCUGUGUUGUUGCAGUCAUUGUGCUGCUACUGCUACGCUUCAUUUUAUUUUUCAUUAAUUACUCUGUGGGCUCUGAUGGUUGAUGCUCUUUAAGAAUCGUUGCUGCUGGGGUGACUGAAAUUGCUACUGCUAGUUCUAACGUUGCUACCGUUGCUGUUGACUUGCCCUAAUUUAAGUUCAGUGUCACUGCCCUAGAAUUGUUUCUGCAUUUGAUUCCAUCAAAUUUGAUGUUGCUGCGAGUGUAAUCGGAGUUGGUGAUGUUGCCAUCGUCUCGGUUGUGUUGG